ACAAAUAUUUUUUUUGAUAACUAGUUUAAAUUCUCGUCUCGAAUAAAAUAAUUUUAUGUAAACCUGUGAAAUUAUUAAUAUUAACACGUAAAAUAAAUGAUAUCAAAUUAUUAUGAUAAAUUCAAUUAACGAAGUAAUUUAGAAAAGUGAAGAAAAAUGUAAAAAUAUAAUAAAACAACUAAAAAUAGGUAAGUUCUUUUUUUGUACUUUUGUAAUAAUUAAAGUCGAAUUAACUAAAAAAAAUAUAAAUGAAGUGGUCAUAAUUAUGCGAGAUUAAAAAAUCUAGUUAUUACUCUUAUUUAUUCAAGAUACAUGCAGAAAAAGAUUGUGUUUAUUAAUGUUAAAGAUACAUAUUUUUUUAAAAGCUUUCCUAUUAUUAUUUUUUUACAAUGAACAGAAUAAGGAAAUUAAAGAAAAAAACUAAUAAGGAAACAUAGAACCGAAUCAAACGUAAUAACCACCAGUUCCUAAGACAAAAAAGAAAAAAAAAAUCCUAAUCAACGACGGCAGAAGAAAACAGCAGCCACCAAAUGAAAUACGUCGGAACUUUCCUUCUGAAGAGACGCCAGGUGGACUGCAAGGUAACAUUCAAGAUGUUGAUGAUAUUUGCAUAUAUAUUAAUAUUCAAGAUAUAACAUUUGUUUGUCAUAGACUCACAGUAUACUGAAAUUUUUGUGGAUGUAUAUCGACCAAGCAAUUUUCAAUGUUUUAAAAAAAGACUAAGCAAUUGUUUUCAAAGCAAUAAAACAGUACAAUAUUUGCUAACCAAUAGAUUCCGAACUUUGGUGCAUUUCCC
rnacentral:lncRNA from 1 species